rnacentral:rRNA from 1 species
UACGGAGGGUGCAAGCGUUAUCCGGAUUUACUGGGUUUAAAGGGUGCGCAGGCGGAUAUGUAAGUCAGUGGUGAAAUCUCUAGGCUUAACCUGGAAAUUGCCGUUGAUACUAUAUAUCUUGAAUGUUGUGGAGGUAAGCAGAAUAUGUCAUGUAGCGGUGAAAUGCUUAGAUAUGACAUAGAAUACCUAUUGCGAAGGCAGCUUACUACGCAGAUAUUGACGCUCAUGCACGAAGGCGUGGGGAUCAAACAGG